rnacentral:rRNA from 1 species
AUUGAACGCUGGCGGCAGGCCUAACACAUGCAAGUCGAACGAGCGGCGGACGGGUGUGUAAUGUAUGUGGACUGCCCGAUAGAGGGGGUUAACUACUGGAAACGGUGGCUAAUACCGCAUACUUUCGGAUAACCUAUAUGGGCUUAGCUAGUAGGUGGGGUAAAGGCUCACAUAGGCGACGAUCUCUAGCUGGUCUGAGAGGAUGAUCGGCAACACUGGGACUGGGACACGGCCCGAACUCUUCCGGAGGCGGCGGUGGGGAAUAUUGCACAAGGGCGGCAAGCCGGAUGCAGCAAGGCCGCGGGGAUGAAAAAGGCCUUAGGGUUGUAAGGUACGUUCAGCGGGAAGGCGUUACCUGCCGAAGAAGCAACGGCUAACUCCGUGCCAGCAGCCGCGGUAAUAC